AGUAAUACAUCGGAACGUGUCUUCUAGUGGGGGAUAACUGCCCGAAAGGGCAGCUAAUACCGCAUGAGACCUGAGGGUGAAAGCGGGGGAUCGCAAGACCUCGCGCUGGAAGAGCGGCAGAUGUCCGAUUAGCUAGUUGGUGAGGUAAAGGCUCACCAAGGCGACGAUCGGUAGCUGGUCUGAGAGGACGACCAGCCACACUGGGACUGAGACACGGCCCAG
rnacentral:rRNA from 1 species